GGUUUAAUAUCUAAAAAUCAAUUAAUUGGAACUAUACAGAGAAGAUUAGCAUUGUCCAUGUACAAGGAUGACACACAACUUUGUGAAGUAUUCCAUAUUUUU
rnacentral:snRNA from 1 species